rnacentral:rRNA from 1 species
AUGCGGCCAUCAAGGUGGAAGAGGAAGACGAGGAGGGGGUUGCCAUUGCCACCUUUGGUACAGCAGGCCAGGUGCCCGGCGGCCAACAGGACUGCAUGGCCAUCUUCAGGAACCCCGCUCCUCCCCCACAGUAUUCGCGCCUCUUCCAUAGCUAGAAGGUACUUCAAGGAUGUUGAGAGGAUUCUUUUUGCUUACAUUCUAGUGCAGCCGCCGCGGCCACCUCCACCUGCACCUGCACAAUGCCAGUGGAACAAGAGGCUGGCUACCGGACCGCCUCCAGGCUUCCCCGGUGUUUGCCAGCCGCCACAGAAGAGACACCAGUCUGGGGCGCAGCCACCGCACAGGCAGCAUCAGGCGCUGCCACAACAGAGGCAGUAUCAGGCGCCGCCGUCGCAGGCGCAGCAAGGGCAGAGGCAGUAUCAGGCGCCACCGGCGCAGGCGCAGCAGGCGCAGAGGCAGUAUCAGGCGCGGCCACCGCAGACGCAGCAGUACCAGGCGGCGCCGCCGCAGGCACAACCACCGCAGAAGCAAUACCCGCCACCACAGCCUAGGCGGCAGCAGGCGGCGCAAGGGCAGCCACUGCAACAGCAAUACCAGGCGCAGCCGCGGCAGACGCAGUACCCGCCGGCGCCGGCGCAAGCGCAACCACCGCAGAAGCAGCACCGGCCGGCCCCAACGCAAGCGCAACCACCGCAGAUGCAGUACCAGCAGCCGGAGCCUGAUCAAGCGCAACCCCCGCAGAUGCAGUACCAGCCGGCACCGACCCAAGCGCAGCCACCGGGGAUGCAGUACCAGCCGGCGCCGUUGCCGAGCGCGCGGCAGCACGCUCCCACACCGGCCGCACCUGCCGCUCACCACGCCCCGUCCAGCAGCAGGCCCCGACUUCACCCGAGGGCCGCGGCCAGACCGGCGUCCGCGUUCAAGAAGCCCUCCGUCGUGUGCGCCGUGUGCGACGUGCGGUGCAUGACGGCGGUUCACCUCAAGCAGCACGAGAAGGGGAGGAAGCAUCGGAACAAGGUGGGCUGCGCCGCCGGGGAGAUGAACCUGUGGUGCGACGUCUGCUCCGUGACCCUCUUAACCAAGCUCAACGUCAAGGAGCACUACUCCGGCAAGCCGCAUCUCCAGCGGGCCUCACGCUCCAGUGCCAAGGGCCACCGAGCAACCUGA